GAAAAAAAUAUUUUUCUACAAUACUACCAGAACGUAUAGUAGUUAAAAAUAUAGUUAUACCUACUAAAAUCCGGUAGUAAUAACAAAAAAUGAUGUAUCGUGUAAAACUUGUUUUUUAAACAUCACUGUUUAAUUCUAGUUAAAUGCAAUUUAGUACUGCUUACAAUUUCGUUGUAUAUUUAAAGAUGCAAGUGUUGUAAAUAUUAAACGUUUGUCUCGUUUAAUAUAUGCAUCGUAACACUAACUAUUGAUAUGUAAAAAUAAAGAUACGAGUGUACACGUUACAAGUUAUUAUGUUAUGGCUACUAUAAUGCAUUGUAUUCUGAACAAAUAAAACAGUUGUGCCAACACCAUGGUGUAUGCGCCGGUGGCGGGGGGGGGAAGGAAUUGCGCAAGUCACGGAACAGCCAUUGCCCCAGCGUCUUUCGUUGCGACGGUCGGUGUUUUUAUUUACUUAGAUCCUGUCCAUAAUUUAACUGUAAACUAGUACAAGUGUAUAGUAUAAGUGUGCUUAAAAACUUGUCUGUUUUGUGAACAUGGACGAAGACCUAAGAAACCAUCUAAUAACGUGGAACCUGGAGGAAUAUACGGAAAUUUUCGAAAGUGCAGCCACUACUCUAAAAGUAUAACCAAAUCCCUCGUGGGGGGCAGUCUUGUUAACCUAACCUGCUAGACCCUUUAAUUUAUACUGUUCUUGAUAUACUUUAAAUAAUUUGAAGAUGCUUUAUAAUUAUCAUUAUUUAGAAAACCAAUAAUAAAGCGUUUGAUUUUA